rnacentral:rRNA from 1 species
GACGAACGCUGGCGGCGUGCCCAAUACAUGCAAGUAGAACGCUGAAGAGAGGAGCUUACUCUUCUUGGAUGAGUUGCGAACGGGUGAGUAACGCGUAGGUAACCUGCCUUGUAGCGGGGGAUAACUAUUGGAAACGAUAGCUAAUACCGCAUAACAAUGGAUGACACAUGUCAUUUAUUUGAAAGGGGCAAUUGCUCCACUACAAGAUGGACCUGCGUUGUAUUAGCUAGUAGGUGAGGUAAUGGCUCACCUAGGCGACGAUACAUAGCCGACCUGAGAGGGUGAUCGGCCACACUGGGACUGAGACACGGCCCAGACUCCUACGGGAGGCAGCAGUAGGGAAUCUUCGGCAAUGGGGGCAACCCUGACCGAGCAACGCCGCGUGAGUGAAGAAGGUUUUCGGAUCGUAAAGCUCUGUUGUAAGUCAAGAACGGGUGUGAGAGUGGAAAGUUCACACUGUGACGGUAGCUUACCAGAAAGGGACGGCUAACUACGUG